rnacentral:rRNA from 1 species
AGAGUUUGAUCAUGGCUCAGGACGAACGCUGGCGGCGUGCUUAACACAUGCAAGUCGAACGGAAAGGCCCUUCGGGGUACUCGAGUGGCGAACGGGUGAGUAACACGUGGGUGAUCUGCCCUGCACUUUGGGAUAAGCCUGGGAAACUGGGUCUAAUACCGAAUAUGACCACGCUCUUCAUGGGGUGUGGUGGAAAGCUUUUGCGGUGUGGGAUGAGCCCGCGGCCUAUCAGCUUGUUGGUGGGGUAAUGGCCUACCAAGGCGACGACGGGUAGCCGGCCUGAGAGGGUGACCGGCCACACUGGGACUGAGAUACGGCCCAGACUCCUACGGGAGGCAGCAGUGGGGAAUAUUGCACAAUGGGCGCAAGCCUGAUGCAGCGACGCCGCGUGAGGGAUGACGGCCUUCGGGUUGUAAACCUCUUUCAGUAGGGACGAAGCGAAAGUGACGGUACCUACAGAAGAAGGACCGGCCAACUACGUGCCAGCAGCCGCGGUAAUACGUAGGGUGCGAGCGUUGUCCGGAAUUACUGGGCGUAAAGAGCUCGUAGGUGGUUUGUCGCGUUGUUCGUGAAAACUCACAGCUUAACUGUGGGCGUGCGGGCGAUACGGGCAGACUAGAGUACUGCAGGGGAGACUGGAAUUCCUGGUGUAGCGGUGGAAUGCGCAGAUAUCAGGAGGAACACCGGUGGCGAAGGCGGGUCUCUGGGCAGUAACUGACGCUGAGGAGCGAAAGCGUGGGGAGCGAACAGGAUUAGAUACCCUGGUAGUCCAA